AGAACUAUUAUUCUGAUGAAUCGAAUGACGGAGUAACGCCCUGAAAGGUUCACAUUAAAACUACGAGCAGCAUUGCAGUGUGAAAUGCAAAUGUUGUAAGUUCGUGGAAGUCGCAUGAGAGUAACCGUAAAUGAAUAUUCAUACGAAAGCUGUCCGGAGGCGGAUGGUGUUACCUAUAGUGCGGAUGGC
rnacentral:ncRNA from 1 species